CUGAGCUUCACAUUCCUGUUGUUUUAACUCAAGAUCUAAUUCUUUCACCUUAACUGCCAAUACAGCAUCAGAACCAAAAUCUUUUGAAUCUAUAUUGAGAACAGAACCAAAGCCAGCAGUCUCAGAUUCUUUCUCAACACCCUCAUCAGAUGCAGCCAAAAUGCCAGGUUCUACCAGCUUAGAAAUGUCUCGUAAUUGGCAACUUUUAUUUACCUUAAAAUGUUAGUUAUUAUUAAGCAGUAUGCUGAUUAAUGUAAUGUGAAUAUACAAUAUUUUAUAUAGCAACAUCACUAUUUAGAAUAUAUUUUGACUAGUGUUUAUGUCUCAAGUAGUCUUGUUUACGUGACAAUCUGUUCGGGUGUAAAUGUAUCAAUGUGGUGUCAAUUUUUUUCUAUUAUGUGUGCAGAAUAUUUGUAUUACUGAUGUGGAAAAUACAUUAUUGUCAUGAUCAGCACACCUGCCUCACCUCCGCACCCACAACGGAGAGAAUCGUCUCCGGAGUACUAAGCGCUCCCGGACUACACUUCCCACUACACCCCGCUCAACCUAAUCAGGGCGCCAGCUGUUCCCCAUCAGCUGACGCACUUAAAUAAGCAAACAAACUUGAUCCCAUUGCGAAGUCUCGACUUGCUCCCGCAGUCAUUCUGAGCGUUUCUCUGAUUGUUUGUUCCGAUUGUUUUGACUUUGUUUCUGUUAUCUGUCUCUUCGAUUGUUCGCUGCCUGCCCUGACCUUCUGCCUGUCCCUCGAUUCCGAUUCUACCAUUUCUCUGAUAUUGUGUUUGCCGUGUUUGACCCUGCCUGCCUACUCUGUCGAGAUUAAUAAAUACGCUGCAAAUGGAUCCAUACGACUCCGCCUCGUUACAAUUAUAUUAAUUGUUUUGCUUUGUAAAUACUUUGAAAAAUACAUGAUACUAAUUAGGAUUUUUUUUUUAGGAAUGUAGCUUCACCUUGGUCUGACACUCGCACGAGGGCACGCAGCAACACGACCGACAUUCAUCCUGUAAUGUGGCUACAAUACGUUCACCUUCGUCUGACACUCGCACGAGGGCACGCAGCAAUGCAACUGGGAACAAAAAAAGAGAAUGUGUCUGCAUCACCUUUACCUGCUACUCACACAUGCCGUAGGUCUCUUUCAGUUCUCAAAGCAACUGAGACUAAUGUGUAAUUACAGUUUAUUAAAGUGUCACUGCUACAGUAAAAUACUGCGUAAUAAUUUUAUUUUAUAUUUUAUUUUUGAUUCAAAAUUUUUC